GCUGGGAUAGCUCAGUUGGUAGAGCAUGAGAUUCUGAAUCUCAAGUUCAUGAGUCUAAAUGCUUCUCUAAAUGUCAAUA